GUCCACGCCCUAAACGAUGAACACUAGGUGUGGGGUGCAAAGCAUUCCGUGCCGCAGCUAACGCAAUAAGUGUUCCACCUGGGGGAGUACGGCCGCAAGGUUGAAACUCAAAGGAAUUGACGGGAGCCCGCACAAGCAGUGGAGUAUGUGGUUUAAUUCGACGCAACGCGAAAAACCUUACCAAGGAUUGACAUCCAGAGAAGACCGAGUAAUGUUGGUUGUGCCCUUCGGGGAACUCUGAGACAGGUGGUGCAUGGUUGUCGU
rnacentral:rRNA from 1 species